rnacentral:rRNA from 1 species
GACGAACGCUGGCGGCGUGCCUAAUACAUGCAAGUAGAACGCUGAAGGAGGAGCUUGCUUCUCUGGAUGAGUUGCGAACGGGUGAGUAACGCGUAGGUAACCUGCCUGGUAGCGGGGGAUAACUAUUGGAAACGAUAGCUAAUACCGCAUAAUAGCAGUUGUUGCAUGACAACUGUUUGAAAGGUGCAAUUGCACCACUACCAGAUGGACCUGCGUUGUAUUAGCUAGUUGGUGGGGUAACGGCUCACUAAGGCGACGAUACAUAGCCGACCUGAGAGGGUGAUCGGCCACACUGGGACUGAGACACGGCCCAGACUCCUACGGGAGGCAGCAGUAGGGAAUCUUCGGCAAUGGACGGAAGUCUGACCGAGCAACGCCGCGUGAGUGAAGAAGGGUUUCGGAUCGUAAAGCUCUGUUGUAAGAGAAGAACGAGUGUGAGAGUGGAAAGUUCACACUGUGACGGUAUCUUACCAGAAAGGGACGGCUAACUACGUG